AAUCGGGCAUCAAAGUCCAUCGAUAUGAAACCUUGAUCAAAAAGUCCCAAACCAGUGGGACUCUUGACUCCGGUACCCGAAAUGUGUGGGACUCAUGAUCAGAGAAUCUUGAUUCUCGAACAUAGAGUCUCAGACAUGUAGGACUCAUAGUCCAUGAGUAUUAAGACUCUUCAUCAGCCAUCAGAUCAGAUAGGAACCUCUAAUGUGUGUGACCCCGCA
rnacentral:lncRNA from 1 species